UCCUCUAAUAUAUCACAUUCUCUCUCUUCUCAGUCCUUUGUGCUCACCAUGGUAUUUGAUUUCUGAUUAUUCUUUCUCCAAACUAGCCCUAACUUGCAACUUCCACAUGCAGUCCUCCACAAUACUGCCAGAGCAACAGCUACAACU
rnacentral:lncRNA from 1 species